AUCACGCCUCUCGAGCGAGUCCUUUGACCCUGCACUAAAGACCUAAUUCCAACCAUUUCCCAACUGCUUGGGUGGUGGCAUUUGCGCCCUGGCCUUUGCGUGGUGGGUGGGCCGCGCUAUCUUUUCUUUUCUUUUCUUUUCUACUCCAUCAAGAUCGGAGCGACGACAACUGAACAUGAUUCAAUGUGUCCUUUCUUUUUUCCCUUCCAACGUUGAUGAUUCCAACAAGUAAGACAAGUAAGGAAAAGCAAUGUUGAAUGUUGGUGUUAAAUCCAUAAGGAUAAAAGAAACAAAAAAUCGUUGAAGCCAGGAGUGUGGAUGAAACAUUGAAACCACAGUUCAUCACGGGGGAGAAUUGGUGGUUCAACUUUCAAGCAUGAUUUAAUUAACAGUUAGAUGACGUAGCGAAUGCGGCUUUUAUAAGGGUUCGUCCUUCUUUUUUGUUGGUGGUGUUGUUGUUGUUGCUUUUUUUUUUGACACUACCUUGGACUUGUAACUCACCCCUGGAAAGAGGGGAUUGUUGUUUUUCCAGAUUGAGUUGAAUUCACCGUCCGCCUUGUCAAAAACGACCAUAAAAC
rnacentral:sRNA from 2 species